AAAAAACCCAAACUUUCAUACCAAAAUACUCAUCAACGGACCAAGGUCCUAGUACCGAUCAUAGCGCCUGCUGUGACGAUCAUAAUCCCUGGACUGUUCUCUAGACCGAGAGCGUGACCUAUGGCGACUUCUUGAAUCAUAACUACGGGAGCGAUCUGAAUCUCUAUCACGCUCCCGUUCAUAUCCACGAUCUCGAUCAUAAUGCCUGUCGCGAUCUCUGCUCCUACGAUCAUAAUCCCUCUCCCGGUCACGGCUAUCUACUCGAUCUCUAUCCUUGCUUGAUUCUCUGUCACGGUCUCUACUUCCCUCUUUUGAUCUUCGAUCAUCAUAUCGAUCACCUCUGCGGAGCUUGUUUCUCUCUUCCUGAAGCUCUGUGAGUUUCUCACGGAUUUGCAUAUAGCCUAGAUGGAGCUUCCCUCCAAAAUGGUCCGCUAAACGCCGAUCACUGUCGUAAACGCUCAAAAAAGCUCCACAAAUGUCACAAACACGCAAUUUCUGGUCAGUAAUGCGGACAUCAGCAGCAGUGUACUUGGAGGAAUCCAGUGCAGGUUCUUGCCUCGCAGGAAGCUUCUUAAGUGCCUCAGCCUCUUCCAAAGCUUUUUGAGCCUCAUCUACCAUUCCUUGCUCACCAAGAUCCUCCGCCUUCUUCAGCUUCUCAUUUAUCAUUUCUUGGGUACGAGGAUCUGGAGCAGGCAUAGGCAAGGGUGCCAAUGGAGGUGGGUUUGGCAAGGGUUGAGGCAAAGACGCCCUAUCUUUGUUGAAGGCUUCCAAAAGUAGUGCAGACUGCUUCUCUGCUCUUUCACUUCUAAGUUUUUCAAGUUUUUCCACCUCUUACAUAGCUUGAAUCUUAAAAUCUGUCUUGCUUUCAAGAUCAUAUUUAUCAGCUUCUUUCAACUUCUCCUUGAUCUGCUUUGAUAACUCAAUU
rnacentral:misc_RNA from 1 species